rnacentral:lncRNA from 1 species
AUGGUGGAGCCACUUGGUCGACGGGCUGAGGCAGAGUCUUGGACUCAGAGGCUGGAGGUGGAGGCAAGGGAUUCUCCAUCCACGCAAAUGAGGGAGACUGACAAAACUGCUGUGCUCCCACUGAACAGAUCGUGGGAUGAGGGUGAGCAGAGGGGCUGCCAGACGACAGCAGUGGAAGAGUCAGAUGACUUGAGUCAUGAAGCCUCUGGAUCAUUUUGGGAUGCGGCCACAUCACCCUCCUCAACCCAUUUGUUUGGCGGCUUCCAUAUGACAGACAAGAAUCCAGCUUCUGUAGUCCAAUCAGAUCCCACAGGCUCUUCAAAGGGUAGCAGGGAACAACCUGCAUUUUCCUCUGUACUCACAUUACUUGCCAGCACAGCCCAGAAGCCUCCCAAACUGUCAUCAAAAGUUGUUGCACGUGGCAAUGAAACACAUCAAUGGCCUUCUAAUGGAUCUUUGGAACGAGUGGAGCCAUUUACUCUUCCAUCGUCUGUGCUGGUCAGCAACCAAUCCAAUAACUCAGAGUUUCAAUGGAUAUCUGAGCUGGAGGCACCUGCAGCCUCUAGAGCUGCAGACCCUGAUUCUAGCAGAUUGAUUUCACCUGAGCAGAAAAACACUGCUGCACCCAAUAGAUCUUCAGCUACAUCUGUGGACACACAACGAGAACGACCAGACAUUGCAACCACUAUUGUAUCUCAACCUACAGUAUUUAACAGCAAUACUGUUACCACAACCAGCAUCCCCUUUACAACAACAACAAACCAGAUUAGCACUACCCAAUCAUCUGCUGCUAACGACACUCCAAAACACCCAGGACUUCUAUAAGAACUACAACUACACAAAUUGAAA